rnacentral:rRNA from 1 species
GUGAUGAGGUACCUUUUGUAGAAUGGUCCGGCGAGUUAUUGUUACUGGCAAGCUUAAGGUAUUCAGUACCGGAGGCGAAGGGAAACCGAGUGUGAACAGCGCGUAUGAAGUCAGUGGCAAUAGACCCGAAACCGGGUGACCUAUCCAUGGGCAGGUUGAAGUGGGGGUAAAACCCCAUGGAGGACCGAACACACGCCCGUUGCAAUGGUCGGUGAUGACCUGUGGAUAGCGGUGAAAUUCCAAUCGAACUCGGAGAUAGCUGGUUCUCCCCGAAAUAGCUUUAGGGCUAGCGUUAACUUAGAUUACCGGAGGUAAAGCACUGAAUGGGCUAGGGGCCGAUAAGGUUACUGAACCCUAUCAAACUCUGAAUGCCGGAUAAUUGAUGGUUAGCAGUCAGUCUACGUGAGAUAAGUCUCGUGGACAAAAGGGAAACAGCCCAGACCCACAGCUAAGGUCCCAAAGAUACGCUAAGUGGAAAACGAUGUGGAGUUGCGAAAACAACCAGGAUGUUGGCUUAGAAGCAGCCACUCAUUAAAAGAGUGCGUAAUAGCUCACUGGUCGAGUGACUCUGCGCGGAAAAUAUAACGGGGCUAAGCGUAACACCGAAGCUUGGGCUUGUCGUAAGACAGGGGUAGGGGAGCGUCGUGUACGGGGUGAAGUCGCAGCGGAAGCAGCGGUGGACUUUACACGAGUGAGAAUGCCGGAAUGAGUAGCGAGAAUUAUGUGGGAAUCAUAAUGGCCGAAAAUCUAAGGUUUCCUGGGGAAGGUUCGUCCGCCCAGGGUAAGCCGGGAGCUAAGGCGAGGCCGAGAGGCGUAGUCGAUGCACAUACGGUUGAAAUUCCGUAGCCACCGAACCUUAAGCACACUGACACAUGGAGAUAGCGGGACCCGGGCGUUGGUUGACCCGGGCGUAAGGGACCGAAAUCAAGUAGGGAAGUCCGCGAUGCUCUGUGGCGAGAAAAGGUGUGAGGAAUGCUAAGGUGCCCGUACCGCAAACCGACACAGGUAGAUGAGGAGAGAAUCCUAAGGCCAACGGGAGAAGGGUUGUUAAGGAACUCGGCAAAAUGACCCCGUAACUUCGGGAUAAGGGGAGCCUCCUACGGGAGGCCGCAGCGAAUAGGCCCAAGCGACUGUUUACCAAAAACACAGGUCUCUGCUAAAUCGAAAGAUGACGUAUAGGGGCUGACGCCUGCCCGGUGCUGGAAGGUUAAGAGGAGAGCUUAGCGCAAGCGAAGGUUUGAAUCGAAGCCCCAGUAAACGGCGGCCGUAACUAUAACGGUCCUAAGGUAGCGAAAUUCCUUGUCAGGUAAGUUCUGACCCGCACGAAUGGCGUAACGAUUUGGGCACUGUCUCAACAGCCCACCCGGCGAAAUUGUUGUACUGGUGAAGAAGCCAGUUACCCGCAACUAGACGGAAAGACCCCAUGGAGCUUUACUGUAGCUUAAUACUGGAAAUCGGUAAAUCAUGUACAGGAUAGGUGGGAGACUUGGAAGCCAGGGCGUCAGCUUUGGUGGAGUCACCCUUGGGAUACCACCCUUGAUUUGCUGGUUUUCUAACCUGCGGCCGUGAAUCCGGUCGGGGGACACUGUUAGGUGGGCAGUUUGACUGGGGCGGUCGCCUCCUAAAAGGUAACGGAGGCGCUCAAAGGUUCGUUCAGCACGGACGGAAACCGUGCAGUGAGUGUAAACGCAUAAACGAGCCUAACUGCGAGACCGACGGGUCGAGCAGUAACGAAAGUUGGAGUUAGUGAUCCGGCGGUAUGCAAGUGGAAGUGCCGUCGCUCAACGGAUAAAAGCUACCCUGGGGAUAACAGGCUGAUCUCCCCCAAGCGUCCACAGCGACGGGGAGGUUUGGCACCUCGAUGUCGGCUCGUCACAUCCUGGGGCUGAAUUCGGUCCCAAGGGUUCGGCUGUUCGCCGAUUAAAGUGGCACGCGAGCUGGGUUCAGAACGUCGUGAGACAGUUCGGUCCCUAUCUGUUGCGGGCGUAAGAGAUUUGAAGGGAGCUGUCCUUAGUACGAGAGGACCGGGAUGGACGUACCUCUGGUGCACCAGUUGUUCUGCCAAGGGCAUGGCUGGGUAGCUAUGUACGGACGAGAUAAACGCUGAAGGCAUCUAAGCGUGAAACUCCCCCUAAGAUUAGAUCUCUCAUCCUUCGGGAGUAAGGCACGUCGUAGACUAUGACGUUGAUAGGUCGGAGGUGGAAGCGCGGUAACGCGUGCAGCUGACCGAUACUAAUAAGCCGAGGGCUUGACCUUA